UGGGUCGUUAGCUCAGUUGGUAGAGCAGCGGACUUUUAAUCCGUUGGUCGCAGGUUCGAAUCCUGCACGGCCUAU
rnacentral:tRNA from 1 species